rnacentral:rRNA from 1 species
AGAGUUUGAUCCUGGCUCAGGACGAACGCUGGCGGCGUGCCUAACACAUGCAAGUCGAACGAGAAUCUUUGGAAUGAUUCUUUCGGGAUGAAUUCUAAAGAGGAAAGUGGCGGACGGGCGAGUAACACGUGGGUAACCUGCCCAUCAGAGGGGGACAACACUUAGAAACAGGUGCUAAUACCGCAUAAUACAGAGAAUCGCAUGGUUCUUUGUUGAAAGGCGCUUCUGGUGUCGCUGAUGGAUGGACCCGCGGUGCAUUAGCUAGACGGUGAGGUAACGGCUCACCGUGGCAAUGAUGCAUAGCCGACCUGAGAGGGUGAUCGGCCACAUUGGGACUGAGACACGGCCCAAACUCCUACGGGAGGCAGCAGUAGGGAAUCUUCGGCAAUGGACGAAAGUCUGACCGAGCAACGCCGCGUGAGUGAAGAAGGUUUUCGGAUCGUAAAACUCUGUUGUUAGAGAAGAACAGGAGCGAUAGUAACUGCUCGCUCUUUGACGGUAUCUAACCAGAAAGCCACGGCUAACUACGUGCCAGCAGCCGCGGUAAUACGUAGGUGGCAAGCGUUGUCCGGAUUUAUUGGGCGUAAAGCGAGCGCAGGCGGUCUCUUAAGUCUGAUGUGAAAGCCCACGGCUUAACCGUGGAGGGUCAUUGGAAACUGGGAGACUUGAGUGCAGAAGAGGAAAGUGGAACUCCAUGUGUAGCGGUGGAAUGCGUAGAUAUAUGGAAGAACACCAGUGGCGAAGGCGGCUUUCUGGUCUGUAACUGACGCUGAGGCUCGAAAGCGUGGGGAGCAAACAGGAUUAGAUACCCUGGUAGUCCACGCCGUAAACGAUGAGUGCUAAGUGUUGGAGGGUUUCCGCCCUUCAGUGCUGCAGCUAACGCAUUAAGCACUCCGCCUGGGGAGUACGACCGCAAGGUUGAAACUCAAAGUAAUUGACGU